GAAAGGCGUCCUCACCUGUGCAUUCUCACUUCCCUCUUGCCCGCUCGCCCCGGCACCCCGCUCUGUGUAGCAACAUAUACGCGCGACAAGGGGCCUGUCCUUGCCUGUUUGCCCUUGCGUGCUUCUCAUCGUCGUUUUUUUUUUCGCUGUCGUCGUUGUCGCCGUUGCCGAUCUUUCAACUCCUUGUCCGAGUCCCUCAGUACACACACACACACACGCACACACAUACAGCCGAAAAUGAACAGCCAACGUCGCCUAUUGUCGCCUGCCAUUCAGCCAAGAGGCGCUUGCGGCGCGGGGGCGGCUGCAAGCGAGUCUCAGCGAAGGUCCUGACGCUCAUUUUCACUGUCGCUGAUAUAUUGGUCCUCACAGAGCUCCUCGCGCUGAGGGCUGAAAGCAGCCCGCCGCGUCUUCUUCAGUGCCGAACUGGCUCUCCACACAAGGCUGCGACCCACCGGGGCGCCACCGGGCUCUCUCGAUCCGUCUCGACUGCCUCGCCGCUCUCAUCAACGUGGGCCGCGAUAACGGAACGAAGCGUCACCUUCCCUGAUCACGACACCACCGUUCCAUACAUGGUUCUGCCCGUCACGGUGGAGGAGACCCUGAUGGUGUUGCUCAUGCGCAUCAUCACCGUGCACAUCCGCCACGCUGUGCACGUGCAGAACGGCGCCGUGCCCAGCAUGAUGCCUUCCCGGACGCCGUCGCCGCUACCCUCCACUUGGCACAGCGCGUGCGCGUGAUGCGCAAGCCUGGCCACUGUGUCUGCGCCACCGCGCUCGGCAUGGCGGUGAGCGACUUCUUGGUUCUGCCCUUCGGUGAGGCAUCCUUGUUCCUCAUGGCGGCGGUUAGCAACUGAAAGUGGUCAGCAACCGUGAAGGCAGCGAUGGCAACAGCCCGACGCUUCGAGUGGGAGAGCGUCGCGGAGCCCCCGUCCCCACUUACACAGGAGCAGAAGGAUGGCGCACAGGCGCAUACCCUUCGAGGGAAGGGCCACGUGGGCCGGCUAUUUCUCGGAAUAGUGUGGGUGUUUGCAGCUCGCCUACGGCCUUGCCUACACGAGGCAUCCGCUUCACGACAGAAGACCCUCGCUCGCCCUUCCCUGCAUAAGCCGGGACAGGAACAGGAGGGCGUGGAAACACGCUGGGCGGCCCGUGAUGGCGCUGUCCCCUGACGACUCAGGGCGGCAAGGGUGCUCGUAUCGUCGGCCCGCACUCAGUGCCGUCAGCCCCACCCCGGCAACACGCCGUCGUGCUGACACGAAUUUUGCGCCAGCGACGACGCACGCAGCGCGUUGUUCGCACGUCUCACGGCGGUCUGCGAUCUGGCGCGUGCGUCGCCGCGGCAGGAGAACGUGACAGCGAUGCUGCCGUCGGUGCGGGAGGGCUGCGGUACGGUAUACGGUGGCUCGUGGCGUCCCAGAACAGGAACCGAUGAUUCUGUUGAGGCACAAGCAAGCCAACAGGCUCGCCAGAUACCUGGGCUAUGGCCUCCAACGCGCAGCGGAGAAGAAAGCCGCAUCGGAUGCGCAGCCUGUGCGCAAUAGGCGGGCUCGUAUUGCGCACUUCAGCCCGCGCGCACGAGCGUGAGCGCCUCAUGGCAACGCGCUCGGCACGCGUCGAGCCACGCGCUGUGCCCACACGUCCGAGAAGGGCUUCCCGAUCGGGGCAAAGGCCGCCUUGGUGGCGAGCCAUCACACACGCACGCACCUCCCCAUCCUGCAUGCGCAGAAAGCAGCUGAAUGGGUUUUAGCGGCAGUGGCUGUGGGUCCGGCGCUGAACACGCUGUGUGGUUUUACGAGCGGAGCAUCGGCGUUGUGUUCUUCUACACUGCCCCGGCUCACUGAAUCCUGCCGACACGCAACUCGCAUAACUUUGAGGAGCGCAACUCCGCGCCGGGCUCGUCUCUCGCCCGCUCGGAUGUGAAGGACGUGGCGUUGCCACUUGUGAGCGGCACCCUUACCCCGCUGUGCGAGGGCCGGAGGGAGGUCACAGAACGGCUGUCGGAGGAGCAAAAUCCGUGAGAGGGCUACUGCAGGGCGAUCCGUGCUUUGCCACAGCGAAUCCUCUCACGAAAGGCGGCGGUGGCCUCAGGGAGCACCGGCGAAGCAUGCACGUGGCCAACUCUCCCUUUCAUUCCCUCUCCUCUCGUUAUGUGGUGGUCUCGCUAAGGGAAAAUCGAUGGCGAGCACUCGUCUCAUCCGGUCAGCCUAUGGCCGCACCGUUGUCCUACGCCGUCUUGCGCAUCCGCCUUUUUCCGUUCUUCUUUCCUGCUCAUGCUUUGUCUGUGUUUCUCCGAGAAAAGCUCCGUUUUGUUCGCGCUUCGGCGCCACCCCUCCUCCCCUCCCUUCCCCGCAUCCGUCCCGAACUCUUCUCUUUUGCUGUAUCGGUCGUUGAUUGGUCCGUCCCCAUCGCUGCCUCGCUUCUCUCGCCCUCCCUCCGCAAUCCCUUGAACCUUCUUCACCUGGGUACUCGCCUAGCACCAUCUUGCUGCGCCACAUAUCCACUCUCCAGUAGCGCGGCAGGCUGUGCGAAUGCAGAUGCAUGCAUGAUCCACUCGUGUAGGCCCAACGCACGCAAGCAUGCGUGAUUUUUUUUUUGGAUGACUCUGGGUGUGUGUAUGUGUGUGUGCGCGGGCGCGGGCGCAAGUAUGCUGAGAGGUGGUCCUCGAUCCUUGCGAGGCUGUGAUCGUGGCAUGUCUUCCCUUCUUCGCCCCUCUGUAGUCUCGGCGCCCUCUCCCCCCCCCUCCCCUCUCUCUCUGCGGCCCCUUUGCAGUCUUACUCCAUGUUGAUGAGGAGAUGUGCAACUGGAGCAGGAGGACGAAGACGUACGGGAGGGCAGCGCACGGUGACGCGGUAAAAGACCCGACGAAAAGAUAGCUUAGUCUGUUGAUCGGUCGUCGCCCCUGUGAGAUGUCACUGAAGCUACUCUCUGGCGCUCAUAGUUUCUGGCUGCUUUCCUUGCCCCGCUCCCUCUUUGGGUCACUCCAGUACCUCCUCACGUGGUGAUGAUGCCACGUUUGUGUGGGGUGCAGGUUUGCUUGCACUCCCAGGGGGAGGGAUAGCCUGUGUUUCCUUUCUCGACUUGCGUCUUCGUGUGGCUGCGGUGGUGUCAUAUGUCUUUUACUGUGUGGUUGGCCCAGUGCGAAUCGGGGUGGAGAGGCCUCAAAUCGUUACACGGGGCCCCCUUCUAUCCUCUCCUUCACUGCGUCGCGCAUCCAGGCGAGAGGAGGGGGUCAUCUCACUGCGGCACUCCAUACGAAACAAAC
rnacentral:misc_RNA from 1 species